AGAGAUGUCGUGGAUUACAGUCUUGUUUAGCAAUUUUAGUCUCUAAGCCAAACAAAAAACUCACAAUAACUCUUCAACCUGUAACUGAAAGACUGCAACACACUUCUUCAUGGAUCUCUCGAUCAAUAUCAGACCUUUGAGUGCAAAAGCAGGUUUAGUCUGUUAAUUAAAACAGAUAUGUGAAAGGUCAUAGGUCACUCACCACAACAGGACGACAUGAUCAGAGCAAGCCAGAGAGAGACGGAGAGCAACACAUUCAUCCUGGACGAGAGACACAAACUGACUGAGACAGACAGAGAGAGAGAGGGGGCGUGUCUAAAUAGAAACUCUCCAAACGAGAGAAAACUUACAGCUUUUAACGAGCCUCAGCUUUGUGAGUCGGACCCAACAGGCUUUUUAAGAUGAGGCCACUGAA